GAUGAACGCUAGCGGCAGGCCUAAUACAUGCAAGUCGAACGAUAGAAGAGAGCUUGCUCUCUUCGAAAGUGGCGCACGGGUGCGUAACGCGUAUGCAACCUACCUUAAUCAGGGGGAUAGCCCGAAGAAAUUCGGAUUAACACCGCAUAAAAUCACAGUACAGCAUUGUACAAUGAUCAAAUAUUUAUAGGAUUAAGAUGGGCAUGCGUGACAUUAGCUAGUUGGCGGGGUAACGGCCCACCAAGGCGACGAUGUCUAGGGGAUCUGAGAGGAUGACCCCCCACACUGGUACUGAGACACGGACCAGACUCCUACGGGAGGCAGCAGUAAGGAAUAUUGGUCAAUGGAGGCAACUCUGAACCAGCCAUGCCGCGUGCAGGAAGACGGCCCUCUGGGUUGUAAACUGCUUUUAUUCGGGAAUAAACCUCAUUACGUGUAGUGAGCUGAAUGUACCGAAGGAAUAAGGAUCGGCUAACUCCGUGCCAGCCGCCGCGGUAA
rnacentral:rRNA from 1 species